ACCCAUUACCUGGAACUGCUGAUCUCCCCAACAAGAAUAUGAGUUCCAUGAAAGGAGGGAGAUCAAUUGCUUUGUCACUCUUGAUAACGCCUGUGCCCAGAAGAGUGCCUGGCACCGAGUAGGCUUUCAAUAAAUAUUUGUUGAAUAAUUAAUUAAUGCUGGGCACUUUAUGCAAUAGGGAAGAAUAAGUUAACGCACCCUUCACCAGUUAAGUCAUACUUCCUUUCUUCGUCGUGGGUUUAAAACCCACAAGAAAAUUGAAGUGAAACAGACGUUUUCUGCUGGAAGAGUGCUAUACUUAUCUUCAGCAGCUUAUACCCUGGAAGAAGAUGGCUCAUCACCACACAUGGAUCUUGCUUCUUUGCCUUCAAACCCGUCUGGGAGCAGUUGGAAGCAACACAGACAUCACUAUGGUAAAUGGGAUUCUGGGGGAGUCAGUGACUUUCUCCUUAAGUAUCCUCAAAUCAGAAGAAGUUAAAAGUAUUUCCUGGAAUUCCAAAACAUCUGUCGCUGUUGUAGUACCAGGAAACUCAGGAACAACGAUUACUGUAACCCACCAAAAUUACUAUGACCGACUAAAUGUCUCAGGUCUGAACUACAACCUGGAGCUCAGAAAUCUGAGGAUGGAAGAUUCAGGGAUCUACAAAGCUGACAUUACUGUAAAGAGCCUUGAAAAAGUCACCACCAUCACUAAGUGCUACGACCUUCAAGUCUAUCGUCGGCUUGGGAAGCCAAAAAUUACUCGGAGUUUAAUGACAUCUAUGAAUGGCACCUGUAAUGUCACACUGACAUGCUCUGUGGAGAAAGAAGAAAAGAAUGUGACAUACAGUUGGAGUCACCUGGGCAGAGAGGGCAAUGUCCUUCAAAUCUUCCAGACCCCUGACAACCAACACCUGACUUACACAUGUACAGCCUGGAACCCUGUCAGCAACAAUUCUGACUCCAUCUCUGCCCAGCAGCUCUGUGCAGACAUCGCAGUGGGCCUCCAGACUCGCCACCCUGGGCUGCUGAGUGGGCUGGCUGUGCUCUCUGUGUUUAUAAUCAUCAUACCUUCAGUGAUUUUGUGUCUUAUGUACAAGAGAGGACAAGGUAGGAUCUUCUCAGAAGGUAAAAAGUGGAAAGGCACCUUCCUUCUUCCUGGGACUGAAGUCAUUUAUCCAAGGUUCCUACUUGAAGACCUUCAGUAAGAACCCUGAUGCUGACUCAAAGAAAACAAUAUACACAUACAUUACAGCUGCGAAAGAUGCCCAGACAGCAGAGUACAGAAUCUACGAUGAAAUCCCCCAGUCCAAGGUGCCCCCCACCAAGGAGGAGCCAGUGAACACGAUUUAUUCCAUAGUGCAGUAUUCUGAUAAGACAGAGAAAAGCACACAGGACAGCAAACCUUCUGGGACUUCAAGCUACGAAAUUGUGAUCUAGGCUUCCAGGCAGCAUUCUCCCCUUGGAAACUAAGCUAUGAUCAGAGGUACCGGUAGAUGGCCCAGACCCAGAGGUUCUCUGCCCACAUCUUCCCUGGAGAUCGCAAAUCACCAGAUCUCAACACAUAAGCAAAGAAGGAGACACUGUGUGGUUGGGCCUAGCUUGUGCCUAGAUAGAAAAAUGAACAUGUGCUCUUUCUGAAAUGACUCUUUUCCAGAUGAACGACAAGGCAGGUCCCUUGGCAUUUCCUAAUCUUCUUCAAAUCACAGCACAUGGAGAAAAAAUAGUAGUAUUUUUCUGGCACUAUUGGGUAUAUAAUCAAGGCGGCUCAUAUCUGGAGACUGUGUAUGGCUGGAGUCUGCAUAUGACUGGAAGUGAUGACUCUUCCCAGCAAACCCGUGUAUGGAAGACCAAGGCUUUGCACGCCUUAUUAUGCCAUGGAUCCUCUGCUCACACUCAAUAUAUGUGAGGAGCCCUGGUGCAUGUCCUCCCCCAGUCUACACAGCACCUCAGGCAAAUGCAGCCCCUAACCCAAGCACCUGGCUUGGUAUGUAGAGUGUGGACUGCAUUUCAGCCUCUAUUUGUUCCUUUGCCUGGAAACUUUUGUGCAGAGUACAACUGGCCAAACCAGCCCAAACACACAUGAUCAUGUGGCGUGGCAGGCCAUCACGUUGUGGCUCUCAGCAGUGUAGACAUACUCUCCAAAGGGAUGUUAGAAAAUGCUCUUUCUAUAGGGACUAGACCACUGGGGCAUUUUCUCCAGGCUGCACUUCAGAAACCUCGUAAGAUUUUUUUUUCUGGCCAAGAUUUCCUUCUAUAUCCUUCUGCAUUGAUUAAUUUUAUAUGUCACCUUAAAUAUGCCAUGGGGUCCCUGGGUAUUUGGUUAAAUGUUAUUCGUGUGAGUGUGAGGGUGCUUCUGGAUGAGAUUAAUAUUUAAAAUUGGUAGACUGAGGAAAGCAGAUUAAUCCUCCCCUCCAAUGUGGGUGGGCAUCAUCAUAUCAAUUGAAAACCCAAAUGGAACAAAAAGGCAGAGUGAGGAAGAAUUCACUCUGUCUGCUUGACUGUCUUUGAGCUGGGACAUCAGUCUUCUAUUGCCUUUGGACUUGGACUUGGACUUGGACUGGAAAGUACCAUCAGCUCUCCUGGUUCUCAGGCCUUUGGACUCAGGCCAGAACUACAUUAUCACCUCUCCAGCUUGCUGACUACCAAUCUUGAGAUUUCUCAAUCUCCAUAACCACAUGAAUCAGUGGUUUUAUAGCUAUAUCCUCUUGGCUCCCGUUUCUAGCAGAAUGAGGCUAAUGCACAUUCUAAACAGCCUUAUCAAGAAGAAGAAGCCAGGAUUGCCCUUUGUGGCCCAGUGGAAAGGAAUCUGACUAGUAUCCAUGAGGAUGUGGGUUCAAUCCCUGGCCUCAAUCAGUGGGUUAAGGAUCCAGCGUUGUCGUGAGCUGUGGUGUCAGUUGCAGACACAGCUUAGAUCCCACAUUGCUAUGGCUGUGUGCUGUGGCCCGCAGCUGUAGCUCUGGUUUGACCCCUAGGCUGGGAACUUCCAUAUGCCUCGAAUGUGGCCCUAAAAAGCAAAAAAAAAAGGAAGAAGAAGAAGCAGUCAUACCCCCAAUCUCCAAAAAGAAUUGCUCAGCUACAUUUCUGGCACUUUUGGGGAACCCAACUAUCAAAAUAAGAGACCUUGAAGGAAGCAGUCAUUCUCCAGAGGUAAUCUGAGAGAUGAUGGAAUAGAGAUAAACCUGGGUUCCCCCCAGUUCCUAAACUUCAGACCAGAGAGUCAUGAAGUUUAAGCUAAGGUUAGUGACCUCCACUCCUCCUGCCAGCACUAUGGCCCCCACUUCUCCUGCCAGCACUAUGAUCUCCUGUGACUGAGCGGAAUAUUCAAGUAAGCCUUUGAAAAACCAUUUCCCUUAUGUGUUGGCAAACAUAACCAGCUAAAUCCUAAACCCCAUGAACAAUCCCAGGCUAGACAGCAGAAAUAAACUGCAUUUAGGAAGAAAGAAAAUGUUAGUAGCAGUCAAUGGGUCCAUAGAACCGUUUAGCCCCAAUUAUCAUUAGCACUGUUUUGGAGGUUGCAAGGUCUCCAAACUAUAAGAUAAUCAUGUCUGCCCUGGUCUAACUACAGCAUAGACACUACAGCUAAAUCCUAAACUACAGGCUGCAAGGAGUGGCAUGAGCUAGCAUAGCCAGAGAACACCUUAUGAAGGCAGUGUAGCUGAAGCUGGCCCUUAAAGGGUGGGUGGGAUUCAGCAGAGAAUGAAGACAGAGGGCAUCCAAGUGAGGAAAGCAUGAAAGAAAGGACUGGAUCUGUGUGGUGUAUUUUGGGCAUCUCCCCCAGACACACCGUGCAUGUUCAAUCUCACUUGCCUAUGCGUGGCAUAGUCCUCAGCUAGAAUGUGUGCCCCUAUCCCCUGUCCAUUUACACAUCCUUCAAUAGCCAGCUCAAACAUCACCUCCUAUAUGAAGCUUUCCUUGUUAUCACUAGUCAAAUUAAUUGUGUCUCUUUUUGCACUCCUUAUCCCACCCCUUUGGUCCUUCUAUCACUAAAAUGUAUUUCAUUCUUCCUUAUGGAAUACAGUAGAUAUAGUAACAAUAAUUAUUUGUUUCCCUCUAUGUUGUCCCAAGGUCCAUGACAUCAUGAUCAUUAAAAAGUGAUCAUGAGAGGUUAUAUAGUUUUAAUGCAUCUCCACAUCUACCACCAGCCCACAUAGUGCCUUGUAUCCUGCUUGUAAGCUAUGACUGCUAUUGAAUAGAGUUGAAAAUGACCAGCCAACUCAAAAGGAAAGUACAUAUUGCACAAAUUGAUGGAUAGAAGCCAAUCGAUAAGCAUAGUGGAAGCAAAUUUUGGUAGGCUUUAAAUAUCAGGAUGCAAACAUCAGAAGACUCUGUUGUCUGUUCCCAGUACAAAUGCAUCUUGGAGGGAGAAGACUUUCAGAGUCAGAAAGACCAACUACUAUGUCAACUGACGCAAUGAUCCAAGUGUGGGGAGGUGAAAGGCAGUCACCCUACGGAAGAACAUGAAGGAAGAAAUAAAUAGACUUGGUCCUAAAGGACAAAAAUAUUCCAAAGUCACACGGAAUAGGCUGAGCUUCUCCUGAAAUAAAAGUACUCCUCAUCUUUACAUGAGUUAAGGAAAUCACUCCUGAACAUUUUCAUUCUGUAAACUACUGCCCCUGACUCUCCCUCAUGUACUUACUCAGUCUAGUUCUUAGUAUCCUAAUGCCCCAGUGGAUAGUGGGAGAAGGGAAAGGAGAAAGGAAGGAAGGGAGGGAGGGAGGGACCAAAGGCUAGAGUUCCUUAGGUCUUCCAGGAGAACAAACCAGGGAUGGAAUUCCAGGAAUUCUUUAGGUGGCCUUGGGGACUCGGGAGCACCGUGCUUGAUUCUUUCCUAUGACUGUUCUAAUUUAUGAAGACAUUAAGCUACUCGCCCCAUUCCAAAGGACUCAGUUCUCAGAUUCUCCUUCUGUAAAAUGAGUGUGAUCUUAUUUCCCCCUUCCCACCUUUCCAGAAAAACUAGAUUAUGACCAAUAGAUCUAUAAAACAAAGUAUUCUUUCAAUGGAACAGGAUCUUUUAUCAGACCAAGAUGUGCCAGAUUUAUUUUUAAUGUGCACUGAAAUUGAAAUCUCAGGGGCAGGGCCCUCUAGCGGAAAGCAGCAGUAAGACAGGACAUUCCCUCUGCAAGUCAGUGUGGGCUUUCCCAGGGAGCUGAGAAAAUAAGGAACAUUGCAGUUAACGCCUCUCAGAAAAAGAAAGUGAAGCUGAUUUAAAAUGAGAUAAUUCUUACAGCUGUAUAACUCUGAACUGCACAGCCCAUGAGAGAAGAGCUUGGCUUGGCCACGUCUGAAAAGUGGGCACAGGAAGGAGCUUGGCUGGUCCAGGCUAUGUCACAGAGAGCACUUCUCACAUUCCGCCUGAAAUUGGCCAGACUGUAUUUUCUUCAAGAUCCAUGACUUUCCUUCUGUUUGACUUUUCCCUGAAUUCCUCUUGAUUUGUAAAAUUUUCUUGUGUGUAAUUAGUGACAGUCCCUACUGGCUAUAAAAUGAAGCUUGAAGGACACAAUAAGAAGUGGCCACAAAUGUGGGCUCUAAUGAUAGAAUACCUGGGUCUGAAUCCUGGUUUCUUAAUUAAGUGACCUCAGGAAAGUUGUUUUAACUUCUUUGUGCCUCAGUUUUCCUGUCUAUAAAAUGGGGAUAAUACUGGCUUUUACCUCCCAGGGUUGAAUGGGAAUUCAACGAGGUGUUCUGUGCCUGCACAGAGUAAAGCCCUGGAUCAUUGUAUUAGCUGUAUUAGCCUUAUAAGAUGAUAAACUAAAAUUAUGAAAUAAGGGGAGUUCCCAUCGUGGCUCAGUGGAAAUGAAUCUGACUAGCAUCCAUGAGGACGCAGGUUCAAUUCCUGGCCUCACUCCAGGGGUUAAGCAUCUGGCGUUGCCAUGAGCUAUCCUGUAGGUCACAGACAUGGCUCAGAUCUGACGUUGCUGUGGCUGUGGCAUUGGUCAGCAGCUGUAGCUCCAGUUUGACCCCUAGCCUGGGAACCUCCAUAUGCCGUGGGUGCAACCUCCCCAAAAGACCCCAAAAAAUUAUGAAAUAGGGUUUUGCAAGAGAAAUAUAUCUAAUACUGUGCUAAAUAAAUGUCUGUCAAACUUUUAACUCUCAAUCCUCCUUAGUCAAUGUCUGUCUCUACUAUUUCACUUACCAUACAACACCCUAAUUACCUGUCUCCUCAACUAAUAAGACCACAGGGGCUAUGUCUGAAUAAUAAUAAUGGAAAUAAAGAGCUACUUGAGGGCAGGGAGCUUUUAAUAGUUCAUCGAGGGCUUCCUGUGUAUACCAACUGCUACACGAGAUGUAUCGAGUAUGCUAUUCUUCCAGUUUACAUUAAGGCUGAAGGAAUAAAUACCUUAGCAAAAUCAGGAAGCUUGGGAAGACAAGAUAUGAACUCGGGACUUCUUGUAAUCAAGGACCAUAUGUUUGUACACUUCCAGGCUGUCUCCCUUUACCUGCUCUGGAUUCCCAACACCUGGCACUUUGCUCCAGAUAUAGCACACACCUUUGCUUGGCACAUGAUGGGUAGCCCACAAAUACUCGUUGAAUGAAUAUGUACCUAUAAUAAUAUUUUAAAGACACUAAGAGAGCUCCAAGUCAACAUAUUCGUAUAUUAAUUCCAUUGUUCUCUGGAUAACCACUCACCUUUCCUAUUGGAAAUAUCCAUGAAAGAAGCUUGGAUAGAGCUCUCUGUCUGCAUUUGGGGCAGAGCUGCUUUCCUAGAAAACUAGGGAUCCAGGUCUUAAGCAUUUCUGGUGAGUUGCUACGAAAUGAGAGAAACGCAGUAUCAAUUUCCAUAUUGCUAUCACAAGAAUAACAGGAGCAGAAGAGGUGAGAAGUGGGGAGCUGUGCUGUGCUAGUUCAUGGGUAAGAAACAGUUGCACCCUUUUAGAUUUUAAUGAUCGCCUUUCCAACUGUUGAGAGCCCUUGAUGGUGGUUCCGGUUAUAUUAAAGUGUUAAUAGGUUUUGACAAAGGACCAUUUUAGUAAAAGUCCUGAGGUUCUGACUUGAGAAAACAACGACUAGUACAUUCUCUAGAGACUAGCAGGCUUUGACAAAUUUAUUUGGAGAACAGAUGAAGGAACUAUCCCCUCUUUGGAAGAUAAUUAUUAACUCUUGCUGGUUGAUUGCUCAGGCAGUUUUGAAUAGCCCUACACAGAUCUCUGGGUUUAGGUUCAUCAACUCUGGGACCCAAAAGUGGCCAUCUCCUUUGCAAGUGAGAAAUAGAGAUUUUUCAUAUGAGGUCUUAUUGUAGGUAAAUAAUUACAUAAAUUAUCUGUCAGAGAAUUUUUUAAAAUACCCAUAAUCUCAAUCAUUUCAUUUGUACCCUAUAUGUCCAACUGUUUAUGGGAUCAUUUCUGCAUAGAUGUCAGACGUCACCUUAAAUUCGGCGUGCCCAAAUUUGAACUCACAAGUCUUUCCUUGACCUCCCUGACUUGCUUUUCUGUCUGUGUCCGCUGUGCUAGUUAAAGACCCACCAUGAUCUUCUUUGUUUGUUUGUUCAUAUAAUGAUUUUUAUUUUCUUCCAUUAUAGCUGGUUUACAGUGUUCUAUUUUCCACUGUAUAGCAUGGUGGCCCAGUUACACAUACAUGUAUACAUUCUUUUUUCUCACAUUAUUAUGCUCCAUCAUAAGUGACCAGACAUAGUUCCCAGUGCUACACAGCAGGAUCUCAUUGCUAAUCCAUUCCAAAGGCAAUAGCCUGCAUCUAUCAACCCCAAGCACCCCAUCCACCCCACUCUCUCCCACUCCCAUUUGGCAACCACAAGUCUAUUCUCCAAGUACAUGAUUUUCUUUUCUGGACCCACCAUAAUCAUAAUAGCCAAUCCUUAUUGACUGCUUCCUAUGUGCCAUUCCUUUACCUGACAUUUUCUAUGUACUCAUUCAUUUUAAAAAGCCCAUAAUGGGGUUCCUGUUGUGGUUCAGCAGUAAUGAACCCAACUAGUAUCCAUGAGGAGAUGGUUCAAUGCCUGGCCCCGCUCAUUGGGUUAAGGAUCCGGUGUUGCCAUGAAGUGCGGUGUAGGUCACAGACGUGGCUCAGAUCUGGCGUUGCCCUGGCUGUGGUGUAGGACGGCAGCUGCAGGUCUGAUUCAACUCCUAGACUGGGGACCUCCAUAUGCUAUGGGUGCGGCCCUAAAAAAGAAAACAAAAAAUUUUUUAAUAAGUAAAUAAAAAAUAGAAAAAGAAACUGAGUCACAGAAUGACUAAAUAACUCAUACAAAUAAAUAUUUAAAAUAGGAAUCAAUUCCUAACCUUCCAACUCCAGGGGCUGUAUCCUGAACUGCUAUUCUUCACCACUUCACCAAUCAGCAGUUACCCAAAGCAGAGAACUCUUUUAUCCUUGAGUCUUCUUUCUUUUUUCCCAUCACCUCAACCCCCUGCUGCAUCUAGUCAGUUAUUAGGCCCUGUCAAUUCCAACUCUUCUACAUGGCUCCUCUCAACCACAUCCUCUCAAUCUGUCUAAUUCUCAAACACACACUCCCUCUCCACGCCCACUAUCCCAGUUCAUUCCUUUAUCAUUUAUUCCCUUGGCUGCUGUCACAUAAACAGCAGUCUUUCUAAAACAUGGAACUUAACACUUCUUUUUCCUACUGAAAAUUGUUUCCUGUGGAACCAGACUCCUUAGUAAUCUGACCCAUCAGAUUUUCCAGCCCCCCUCCUCCUGCCUCUUCCCCAGGCUCCAGACACAUAAAAAUACUGUGAGUCCGUGAAUUCAUCAAAUCCUUUCCCACUCCCAUGCCUUUGCCCAUGAUCUAUCCUCCACUUGAAAUGCUUUUCUCUCUGUUCCAUCUCUGGCUCUUUCAUAUCUCAAGGAUCAAACCAAGUAUCCCCUCUUUGCAUAGCCUUCCAAAACCUCCCACUCAAAGCUAAAUACGUAGCUCCCUAUUUGUGCUCCUACAACAUCCAGUACAGAAGUGCAUAACAGUAGCUUUUAUCAUAUUCUAUGAUAAUUAUAUAGCUGUGGUAUUUUCUCAACUGUCUCCCCAACUAGCCAAUAAGUUGUUUUGGCUAGAAGACUUUCUCCUCGUCUCUGUGUCCACAGUACCUAAUGAACCUAACAUCCUCAAAAAAUUGGAUGAGCUCAUUAAUUAAUACAAAGAUGAGGACUAUGCUCACUAGUAUCAAAUGCUGCUAAUCCUCUUUCAGAAGCUAGUUGCCAUGCUUGUAAUGGUAUUUUAUUCUUUCUGUUAUUUCAUACAUUUGUAAAUUUCCAUUAAUAAAGUGUUGUCCACAUCUUGUAUGAAGUGAGGCUGUAGGCUCCAUUUGAGUAAGUAAACACACAAAAAAAUUUGGUAAUGCA